AAAAUGGAUAGCCCCUGGGUUUCCGUGUCCAACGUUUGACCGUCCGUCUUAUUUGAAAAAAUUAUGAAAAAAAUAAAAAGACAAGUCAUGCAUAAAGUAUUAAUCAUGUUUUAUCAUCUAACAAUAAUAAAAAUACUAAUUAUAAAAAAAAUUCAUAUAAGACAGACAGUCAAACGUUGGACACGGAAAUCUAGGGUUUAUUUUUUU
rnacentral:pre_miRNA from 1 species